GGAGAGGUGGCUCAGAGGUUAAGAGCACUGACUGUUCUUCCAGAGGUCCUGAGUUCAAUUCCCAGCAACUACA
rfam:Neotoma lepida isolate 417 scaffold_2522, whole genome shotgun sequence.